AGCGCGGAGCAAGAAUCUUUGGGAAGAGUUUCCAUAGAAACAUUGACGUCCUCCUGGUGAACAGGACACUGAGUUCCUUCAAUGGGAGAUGAAGACCUGGGCUUCGAGGAUUGUCCAUCCUAACCAUGGGCUCUCCAUGCUGUGGUGUUUCUUCAGCCUUGUGUCUUCACUGGGCUCAGCUGCUUGGCAAAAAGGCUGCUUAUACUCAUGGUCCUGUUGAUGUGGAUGUGCAACCACCAACACUCCAAAACCCCAGGGAGAACCUUUUUUAGGAGGACCUGAGCAAAAUACAGCCCUCCUACAAUGGCAGCCUCAGUGGUGGCCAGCAGGCUAUCCUGGAGGAGAGCUGGUGAGUAAUAAAAAUAACUGAUGUUUUUCCUAGUGAAAACCAGCCUGACUCACUUCUAUUUUGUUUCUUUUAUUGUUAUUUGUAUUGCUGUGAUGGCAGACAGCAGAUCUCAGUUAUUGAGUCCAGCGUUUUAUCACCAUAUAAUAGGACAAAGUGCCUGCAGAAAUGCUUCCAGACUAAAUCAGUAGGAGGCAAAAAAGAAAAGGUUAAAUCACUUGCUCACUGCUGCCCUAUAAUUCAGGGCUGCCCUACUCCUCACUAAGCACCUUCACUCACCCAUGGUGGUAUAUUUUCCUGCUACUUUUGCCUUGCUCUAAGCCAAGGUUCAUAGAUGGUCAAUAGCAUUUGUUUUGCAAAUAAAAGAUCCACUUGGCACGUGUAUUUCAGGAGCUGUUGUGCUCCAGGAGGAGCACUUGCUACCGGCAGGGGCUGCUCAGAUCUGAAGCUUUUUAUUGAGAUACUGAUCUGAGGCACCAGAAGAACAAAACGUGCAGUGGUGACCCCAUGCCAUUCUCUCUGCUGUGCCAUCCUCCAGUGAGCAGCACAGUCCUGUACAAUCAAUUCCUCUGGUAGAUGAAGUCAGGAUCUCUUUGUGGGCAGGUAUGCCAUGGAAAAUGUCUCUCUAGAGCUGGUAUCUUCCAGGGAUAAUGUCUAUCUCAAGCCAAUGUCUAGUACAGGAUGAGUUUCCUACUGCUUGAAAUAACACAUCAGCCUCUCAAGGCCUUUGCAGCCUCUGGGUGCUGCUGGUGCUGGCAGCAGUUGUACCCACCACUGCACCCACCAAACAGAAGAGAUCCCACAGGGCUCAACAAAAUAUCAGGGCCUGGAUCCAUGCAUCAACUGAAGCAGAAUAAUUCCCAGAUCCAGAGAGAAAAGCACAAACAAAGAGAACCUAGAAGUCGAAGAGAUAAAAGGUGGCUGGGAGACCAAUGAAGAAAAGGUCUGCCCGAGGUCUGAGGUUUAAUAGAGCUGAGUAGGAUGGGACUUGGCAUAGAGAGAAGCCAUUAGGAACAGUAGUGAAAAACAGAAUAUGCAGAUAGUGAGAGGGGAGAAAGCUGAAAGAGGAGGCUGGGAGGAAAGCAGGUAAAGGGGUGUAAAUUUUGGCUUGUGUGUACCAGUACUGCAGCCACAGCACUGCAAGAUGUGGUGUAGCAGGGGAAAAGCCAGACAGUCCCAGAGGAUCUGCAGAAAGCAAAGCUGCUCUAGGGGGACAGAAGUGGUGGUGACGCUGAGAAUGGGCACUCCUGCUCUCCUGCUGCUCCAAGGCUGUGUCCUGGCCCAAGAGUUGGAGGCAGUUUUUCUGGCUUUGUUUUUGGGGGGUUUGGUGGGAGGUUUUUUGUUUGUUUGUUUUGAUUUUCUUUUUAUUAUUGUUGUUGUUUCGAGGGGAUUUUGGUGUUUUUUAUUGUCUUUUCUUUUUUAAGGCAGAUUCCAGAUGGGUUCUGCAGUGGCAUCUCUAACUCCUGCCCCAAGUUGCUGCCCCUGGGCUUUCCAAGCACCCCAGGGCUUGCUGAGAAUGACCCUAGAACUGAACUAAGCCUGUGCCAAGUGCCACCUCUGUGACAGUGGCUUGGACUCACCCUGACAGAGGUGCUGGUUACACUCUGCUGGUCUGACCCACCAUGGUCAGGGUAUCCCAGGGUAGCACCCGGGAUCAGCCUUCAGCACCCAACAGCAGCCUAGGAGGUGGGCAGAGGGGUGAGUGCUUGUUUGCACUCAUCUCAGCUCACAUCUUGGCUUGGGAAGGCAUGCCUGGCAUUCUGGUCAGUGAUGACUGACUCUUGAAGGAAAUAAUCAGCCAUUCUGGAGGGCUGUGCCUAUGUUUUAGGAGAAUUAUUGCUUUCUUCCAGCCUCAGCUGCGUACAAAUGAAUUGCUUCUCUUUAUGAGGAAUUCUUAUCUCCAUCUGUCAGUCAUAUUGUCUCAGUGGGGAAAAAAUCCCCAAGCCCUGUCAUAUCAGAAAAUGAGAAAAUUAUCAAUAUCUAGAGUGUAUGUGAACAACAGGAGCUCUUUCUUCAUUUGGGAGAAUGAAUCUUGAUUGUAAUGUCUCAUAAAUGUUAGUGGCUUCUCAGACUUUUGAAAAUGUUAAUAAUCCUGAGGUACCAAAAUACUUUGUCUUGGACUUCUCCAUAUUAAAAACAUUGUCUUGCCCUCUGCAGCCAUCUCCAAGUGUCUCAGAGAUGAGUGGUCCUAAACAUUGCUUUGUGCAUUCAGGAAGCAGAGGCAGGAUUAAUACAUUCAUGCAAACACAACAGGCUCUGAUGAUUGCCUGUGUAUCAAGAGUCAGCAUCCAGCUCUGGUGCCUAAGAUCAGCUUAAUAAAUACUAUCAACUUCUGCCAAGCAUAGGAAUAGAAAAAAUAUGUCAAUAGCUGUUGCUUUGAAUAGGAAUCCUUGAGUAAAGGAAAUCUCUCUUCUUCAGAUUUCCACUGGCCUUGUUACGCUGCCUUGGGGAGAGAGAAGGGGGCACAGAGGAGACAGCCCAAGUGCUGCAGCUGGGCUAUGGGGGGGUCCCGUCAGUCCCAGGGAGGACACCCCACCCCUCUGCAUCACAGGGGUGUCUGAGCCAGUCUGGGGUCCUUCUCCCCUGAAGAGCAGCCACUGACAACACCUGCUGCCCCUCCCGGGGAAGGUGGAUGUUCAGGUGAGUGGGCUCAGCCCCCCAUCCUCCUCCCCUAGAGCCACACAUGCAUCCAUCCCUGUGUUGCCCAGGGUCACUAAAUCAACUCUUUGUUGCCGCCUUCAGAAAAGUUGAUUUUGGCAUCAGCUCCCAGUGGGAAACCUGUGAACAGCUCCUUCUCCCUCAGGCUGUCUCAGACUCCAGCAGAGCCCAGCUCCUGUGGCUGCACACAGGUCUGUCCCUCUGCUUUGGGCUGUCACUCAUGAGCAUGUUCCUUCACAUGCUCCAGGGCAGCCGAAGCAGCCAAGGCUGCCACAUGCCACCAUAUCCCCAGGCAUGCAGAAGGGAGGUUUAAUUCAGAUCCAAGCUUUAUUAAGGCUGCCUGGAACCACAGGUUUGAGUCCUGGCCCCACUGAAGCUGGCUGAGGGCUCAAGUGGAAGAACGUGGCAGAACUCACUACUUGUCCAGGCACUCCUGUGGUAGGACUCACAAUUACACCUGAAUCUGUUCUGCUGUUUUCCUUUCCAAAUAUCUGUCCCUUUUGUUUUUAUGAGUCAUCAACUGUUUUAUUUCCCUGGCAGAUUAGAUUGUUCCUCUCGCUGUAGCUUUGGGCUUUUGCAGCAGAAUGGGACCCAGGAGACCUGAGCAUGGAGCAUCGGGAUCAGAGACACAGCAGAACAUUACUGUUCUACUGUGGGCAGCUGGUGCUCAGCAGACACCACAAGUCACUUAAAAUGUCUUUUUUUGGCUAUUGCUUGGUUAAAGGUGGUACCUGCAGCUUGAACAACAGGCAGAAGCAGGGUAUAGCACUGGUGGGCUGUCAUGGGGUGCAAGGUGAAUUUCAGUGUGGGAAGCCAGAGGCAGCACAUUUGCCUAGCAUGUCCUUCCAGGCAGUCCAUUAGCUGAGAUCCCACGGAGCCACACAAAUGAUGUUUAUUGCAUUUCUUUGAGCCCACACUGGGGACGUUUAUUUAAAUUAUUUGGUGUGGGAAACGAUGGAUGUUGGCAGGGCUUUGGGAUCCAGCCAUGAAGAGAUGGAGCUGUGGGAGAGCUGCUCCUGGAGAGAGGUCCAGCCCACCCACACGGGGCUCUCCUUCCUCCUGCAUCAAGGUGUGCUGAACCUGAGGAGAGGUUUCCAAACCUUCUUUGAGUCAGGUAGGCUAUUUCUGGGAUUCUCAAACUGGAUGCAAGUGGUGCACUGCCCAGCUCACAGAUCAGUGUCCCCAUUGCCUGGGGACUCCCUUUCCAUCCCAUGUGUUGUGCUCCCUCUGCUCUUCAGAGAGCAGAGCACAAGAAACAGGCUGCUUUCUGACACUUUAGAAACUGCUUUUUCAAAGCUUGUGGUGCUGUUCCAAAAGGAGUUUCUCUUUGCAUGCACCAGUCUUGCUUCUGUUUAUUUCUAGCAGACUUAUUUAUACCUGCAAGAUUUCUUUGUUUCAUUAAAAGACUCCUUGAUCUAAACUUUAAAGGAUUUGUUUUCAGAGAGAUUGAAGUCAACCUAAUGUCUGGCACCCCUAAAGUUUUCUUACAUCUUCAGGUAAACCUGGAAAAGACAUUUUGUGGCAGAGUAGUAAACGAUGGUGACUAGGUUAAAGUGGAGCUGGCCAUGAAUUCUUGGGUACUAAUACAUGCCUAUCAUCCAGGCUUCUUAAUUACUAUUUUCCAAGAGGUGAAACAAUGUUGACAGAGCUUGCACUAUCAGAUGCAAGUCAAGGUAAAACCCUGUGCCAACAGCAAGCAUGGAAAAUUACAUCCCAUUGCCCAGCAACUCACAGUCGAGCAAGUAAAAUAUGAUUUGCACAACUGAGCAGAGGCAUUGUCAGGGUGGAUUCUAACCCAGCUUUAGAUCAACUCUAAAUUCUAGAUUUACUCCUCCUUACCAAUUUAAGGUGUUUUUUUUACAAUGAAUUUUAUUCUUAAGGGAUUGUCUCUGGAAAUGCAUUUCAACUCAACUUCUUUUUAUUCUACAGAAGGAAACUCUUGAAGAAAAUACCAUCCAACUCAGAAGAGAAUUUCCAGGGAGCAGAUCUCCUGGUGAAGGAACAAUUGCAUUACUAUAUCUCUGGGGCUGGAGAUAAAUGGGCUUUAUUCUCUUUGAGGUAAACCAUUUAUCAGACAACAAAAGUUACAAUUCCUGCCAAGGAACAAGGUGGGCUGUGCAGCAACAAGUGUUUCUGGAGAAUCUAAGUCAGAUGCAUGUGCUGAAGUCACUCUUUAUUUUCUGAUAUGAAACCAGUUCCACAUAUAAAGGAAAUAAAUUUCAGCCUCUUCCUUACUCGGUUUUCAACAGUUGCUCAAUAGUUCAGCCAGCCAGAAAGGAGAUAUUCAUAGAUAACUGGAAACAAAACCAAUUUCUGCCACUUCCAUGACUGGUUUCACUCCCAGAUCCUCCAGCUCAGGGCUGGCAUGUUUUGCAAAUCCUCAUAGGCAAGAUUGCUGGUUAAUAAUUGCUGUAAUUCAUUUAGGUCAUAGCCCUUCUUCUUCUCUUUCUUUUCACUACCUGAGGGAGAGCUGAAACAGAGAUCAUCCAAGGCACAAGUGUUGGUUUAACUUACUGCCACAGUCAGCUAAAUCUGAGCUCUCUGCCCAGUAUCCGUGGCUCAGUUCACCUCAGGUCUCUGGCAUUGCUUCUUACAAUUGCCCUUCUUAUAUUUAAAUUUCAAAACCUGAGAAUUCUUCUAGUUUUAAGCAUAAUUACACUGUUAUACCUCCAAAUGAGUAUGAGGCUAUUUUCAAGAUUAAAAAAAAAAUCCAUUUAAAAUACUUAGGUCUGUAUUUUCUUGCUUAUGUAUGCAGGUAGUUUUAUGAAAAGUUUAUUCUGAGAAGUGUCAUGUGUGUAUGCAGUCUUGGAUUAGACUGAAAUGAAAUUGUGAGAAUUUAUGGAACAGCUUUUUGUGAGAAAACAUCCUCAGCUAUAUAGCCUUAGAAACUAGAGAGUUAGAGUUGGAGCUAUGAAUAUGGAGAGCCAGGAGUUGGAAUAAUCUCAAGGGAGGCAACUGCACCAGCCAGGAUGAAAGAUGAGUUUCAGCAGAAAAUUGAUCAAGAUAACGAAGCAGGGGGAAGAUGUCUUGUGACAGCAGCUGGAUUUGUAGCAUCUAGCCUCAAACAGGAGCAUGAAACAUAAGUUUGCUUGGAGGAGGAAAAAAUCAAUCAAGAGAUUUCACAUAGGAUUGUGAGACUAUAGAAAGCUCCAAGGCACCCUGGAACACUGCACCAUUUACCCUAAUCAGGGGGUGAGUCAGCACUCAAUUAUACUCAGGCAAUUUUAUAUUCAGUUUUUUAUGCGUUGGCGACAAAGCAAUUUAGAUAAUAUGGUCACACAGCAGAAUCACUUUCUUUAGAAAUCUGAGUUCCAUUAGCUACAAUAAAAAGUAUGUCACUCCAAGUGCUCAUUUCCCAGCAUGGAAGAAAAUCGUCAUAUGGGAUCAAGCAGAAAUCUCUUCUUCCCAUUGCCAAACUCAAUGUAAUUGUGUGACAUGGCUGUUUUAUCCCUGCUUCUGAAGAUCUUGGUUACAGCUGCUCUUGAGGCUGCACAGAUCCACUGCUGUGUGCAGGGAAUGUCUGAAGUCUUUGCAUUAAUAAUAGCACAUGAGAUAAUGGCUCCUACUGGGAUGUGUGUUCUAGAGAAAACAUUCUGUUCUCAUGAAGCGGGUCAUAUAUUUGUAGGUACACAAGGGUGGCUCCAUCACAGGGUAAAGAGUUGUGACCUGUGAAACAGAAGAAUCUCUGUGAAAUUGUGUUAUUGCAAGUCCCAUGAGCACUAUCCUGGGGGAUUUCAAGUUGUGGCUUUAUGCAGCCUUUAGACAUCAGUUCAGAAAAGAUGUUAUGCUGACAUGACCUUUUGCUUAAUCUUUUAAGGCAUUUAUUAUAUUAUGUUGGGAAUUACACCUUUAGGAAUCAGAAGUUGGAGAGGAAAUGGGUGAUUUACUGUUUGAGUGAUCAUUUCAAUGCCAGUGACAGACUGAGUCUCCCAUGAACUGUUCUUUACAUCAACAGGAUGCACAACCUGUGUAAAAUCUACUAUGUAUGUGUCAGGAGCAAACACACAGCUUGAAUCUUCAUUCCCUUCCAUUAUUCCUGUCCCUGUGACUCAAUGGACUUUAACAGGAGCUGAGUAAGGACCAGAUCUGUAGCACAGCAAGCUCAAAGAGAAUUUUCCAUUGAAUUUUUUUCCCCCAUAGAUAAUACCCUUAAAGAUUCAGGGUCAAACCUUCCACUGUCAUAUCCUGACAUCUUUCCACUCAACUAGCUCUUCAUGUCUGCACAAGUACUGGGUUCCUGUUCAGCUGAAAAGAAAAAAACCCUUGUUGGGUUUUGUUUGGUUGGUUUUUUGUUUGUUUUUAAUGCAGAUAUUUUCAUGAUCUUCUCAUGAGGACUGUAUUUAUCAAGACACAGACAUUUGAACUCAUUUACUUUGAAGUCACCGUCACUCACACUGUCCCAGCGUGACAGCACAGCAGGUUAACUCAGCACUUCUCCAAUCAGACUGCCUUCAGCCCCAGUAUCAACACCUCUAACCAGAGCCUUUCCUAAAGGUGAUAUUCUGUCACCUGGUAGUCACUAAUUAAACUCUCCAAGCCCUGUGCUCAGAAUAAAACACUGUUACUGAUAGGAAUAGCAUGCAGAAAGGCAUAAGAAACCCAGUCAACAGCCACAGCUCCAGAGAAAAGGGAUUGCCUGAAAGCUUAAAAUAAGGAUGGCUUCUUACUGCACUGUUCUUGGUUGUUUUAAAUUCUUAGGCAAGAACCAAGGGUGAUCUUCAGGGGAUGUUAAAAUUAUAUUUUGUUCUGGAUUUUAUUGCAAAAAAUUGAGGCACCUUCCAAUCUUGACAAUAAAUUGACAAUGCAUGGAAGCAUCCUUCCUCCCCUUCUCAUUCAAGGUGCAUCUACAUCACUUUGUUGAAGACCUGGAAAACAGUGAAGGCUUCACUGAUCCAUGCUAAGUGAACACAAAGCAUUGCUGGGAGAGCCAAAGGGUGCAGAUUUGGAUUAGAGGGCAUUGUGGUUAGUCAGGAAAGGUGGUGUUGGCUGGAUUUUUGCCUAAAUAGAGUUUCCAUUUAUUUCAAAAAGAGACCCCUGUUAGUUCUCAGAUGAUAUUAUUUUUACCCUAGAUGAUGAUAAUCAGAAUGAAAAAGAAAAAGUAGCAGAAUUUUUGUAUUUAUUGGACCGUUUUGGUAAACAACCACCACUCUAUUGCUCUUUCUUUCAUUUUAAAUGGACUGAAUGAAAGUUAUUUCUUUGUACAGACGUUUUUCCCCCAUUUACUACCUAGUUUUUUCACAUUCAGUAUCUCUCUUGAAUAAGACUGAACAGUUUUCCUGGAAUUCCAUUUUCAGGAAAACAAAUAUUUACUUGCCUUCCUGGAAAAUGCUAAGUACACAAAAUUCUUCAGUAAAUUCCUAGUGAGAUGUUUUUAAGCUACCUUCAUCUACUCAGAGAUUGAAAAGGCAAAAGACCAGCCCUUCAUCUUCAGUGUUUAUUUUUGAUCCCCAUGAAAGUACUGACAGUUUAAAAAGCAGCUUUCUGUCUCUUUAAAACUGUUUAUGAAUCAUUGUUUGGAAUGAGCAUAGUAAGGCACUUGAAGCUGAUUAACUUAGAAGUUCCAUGGCUAUCGGCUAGGACAGUCCUCACCUCAUAAUUUUAUCUAUUAACAGAUACUGCACAACUAACUGACAUUAAACUGGCAGGUUCCCAGCGCAAAGGUGAACUUGAGUAAAAAAUUAUAUUGGAUUUUAAUAAAACUUUCUUCAAAGGUCAACCUCUGUAAUGUAUGAAAUCAAUCUUCCUUCCUCCUUCUUCAGCCCAUUUCUUCACAGCUAUAGGAAAUUCUGAUGCUCAUAAAAUAUUUCCCAUUCCCUCUCCCUCUUUUUACAGUUUGCCUCUACUUGUGACCAUUACUUUUCACAGCAGUUUUAGAUUACUUACUCCUCUUUUUUACUUCACUCUUUUUUACUGGCCUUCUCAGGAUCUAUACCCCAUUCUGAAAAUGUCGCUUAUCAAGCUCCUCUUCAAGAGCAGAUCCUACCUUAUACCAUCUUCAGGCAAAACAAACAACCCACAUUUUUACUUGAAGUUUCAUCCUUGAAGCUGGAUGAAACUUUGAGAAGAAAAAAGCUUUGGUGCAAAAUCUUUAUUUCUCCUGGUUUUAUUUCUCCUUCUUACCCAAAAGCUGUUUUCUGUGUCUUGCUCGGGAUUCUAUCAACUUAUUCUAGGUAAGCUAUAAUAUUGGUAGCAUUCCACUUAGGAGAGGGUGAUGUCCUUGUGAGCUCUGAGCUCUAAUCUCCUGCAGACCAGUUCCUUCUACUGAUGUUGGCCCUGAAAAAUUACAUAUUCACAGGAUUAGAGACAAACUUGGAGCUCUCCUGGAAGGUGACCUGGGUGUUUUGCCUGAAUUCUGCUCCUGCUUAUUUUUUACUCCAUUGAAACAACGUCACUUACAAGGUGAUUUUGUGGUUUCCCACCUCAAAAAACUUUUGUGGUCAGAGAGCUUUUGGUACUGGGCAACACCUGAUAGGUCCAGAUCCCCUUUCUAAUCAGUAUUUAUGGAAAAAAUCACUGCUGGUAAAGUGAAAUGUAAGAGAAUCUACAUUCCAUUUCAAACUCGGUGCUAAGAUAUCUGCUGGAGAGCAGCCAGGCCUGGCUGCUCACACUGAUGGAUGGUGGGGAAAAGGAACACAUGUUAAAAUCAGCAAACGGAUAAAAUUGGGCUAGAGAGGGAUGAAUACAAUGAGGAAAGCUUUCCAAUUUUUCAAGAUCAAAGCCCUGGCUCCCACGCUAAAAGGAGAAUUUUGAUUCCAAAUAGGAAAAUGUUAAAAAAGAGACUGUACUCUAUUUGGGAAUGUAUGAUACAAAGCCUCAUGUCCACCAUCAGGAAAAAUCCUAUAUAUUCUGUACUUCAACAUUAAUUUAGCAGAGAAGAGGAUUCUAUGAAAAGGAUGGGUAGUGGAAAUUCUGAGCCUGCCUUCCUGCAGCUUUCAAAUUGUUGUCCUCGUUGACAUAUUUAGUAAAAAUUUUCUUUGUUAUAUAUAAUUGCUUUAAACAACUUUUAAAAUUAACAAACUGUAUUUUGGAUUUGGAUGUGUUGAUCAAUAAACAAUAUUAAUUUAGA